rnacentral:rRNA from 1 species
ACCAACUGAUCCUUGAGUAAGGCGGGACACGUGUAAUCCUGUCUGAACAUGGGGGGGACCCACCCUCCAAGCCUAAAUACUCCCUGGUGACCGAUAGCGAACAAGUACCGUGAGGGAAAGGUGAAAAGCACCCCGAUGAGGGGAGUGAAAUAGACCUGAAACCGGAUGCCUACAAGCAGUCGGAGCCUCUUAUGGGGUGACGGCGUACCUUUUGUAUAAUGGGUCAGCGAGUUUCUGUUCGCGGCAAGCUUAAGCCGAUAGGUGUAGGCGCAGCGAAAGCGAGUCUGAACAGGGCGUUCAGUCGCGGGCAGAAGACCCGAAACCGAGUGAUCUAGCCAUGGCCAGGCUGAAGGUGGGGUAACACCCACUGGAGGGCCGAACCCACGCCUGUUGAAAAAGUCGGGGAUGAGCUGUGGCUAGGGGUGAAAGG